GUAAAUCUGCGUUUAGACGUAAAUCUGCGUUUAGACGUAAAUCUGCUUUUUGCAGAUUACUUUUUGAGCUAUACAAUAGCAGCACAUUGUCUUUAUACUUCUGCUUAAACUGCGCUUAGACGCAAACUGUGUUUAGACGCAAACUGCGCUUAGACGCAAUCUGCGCUUAGACGCAAACUGCGCUUAGACGCAAACUGCGCUUAGACGCAAUCUGAGCUUAGACGCAA
rnacentral:lncRNA from 1 species